rnacentral:rRNA from 1 species
AUUGAACGCUGGCGGCAGGCCUAACACAUGCAAGUCGAGCGGAUGAAGGGAGCUUGCUCCUGGAUUCAGCGGCGGACGGGUGAGUAAUGCCUAGGAAUCUGCCUGGUAGUGGGGGAUAACGUCCGGAAACGGGCGCUAAUAUCGCAUACGUCCUGAGGGAGAAAGUGGGGGAUCUUCGGACCUCACGCUAUCAGAUGAGCCUAGGUCGGAUUAGCUAGUUGGUGGGGUAAAGGCCUACCAAGGCGACGAUCCGUAACUGGUCUGAGAGGAUGAUCAGUCACACUGGAACUGAGACACGGUCCAGACUCCUACGGGAGGCAGCAGUGGGGAAUAUUGGACAAUGGGCGGAAGCCUGAUCCAGCCAUGCCGCGUGUGUGAAGAAGGUCUUCGGAUUGUAAAGCACUUUAAGUUGGGAGGAAGGGCAGUAAGUUAAUACCUUGCUGUUUUGACGUUACCAACAGAAUAAGCACCGGCUAACUUCGUG